GCCCAAAAUUGCCCCCGUAACUUCGGGAGAAGGGGGACCUCUGUUGGUGAUGGGCUUUACGCCUGGAGCUGGUGGGGGUCGCAGUGGCCAGGGGGAAGCGACUGUUUACUAAAAACACAGGUCCGUGCGAAGUCGUAAGACGAUGUAUACGGACUGACGCCUGCCCGGUGCCGGAACGUUAAGGGGACCGCUUAGCCGACGUGAGUUGGCGAAGGUGAGAACUUAAGCGCCGGUAAACGGCGGUGGUAACUAUAACCAUCCUAAGGUAGCGAAAUUCCUUGUCGGGUAAGUUCCGACCUGCACGAAUGGCGUAACGACUUCCCCGCUGUCUCAACCGCAGACCCGGCGAAAUUGCACUACGAGUAAAGAUGCUCGUUUCGCGCAGCAGGACGGAAAGACCCCGGGACCUUCACUACAGCUUGACAUUGGCGUUUGGAACGUCUUGUGUAGGAUAGGUGGGAGACUGGGAAGCUGUCACGCUAGUGAUGGUGGAGUCAUUGGUGAAAUACCACUCUGGUCGUUUUGAACGUCUAACUCUGGUCCGUGAUCCGGAUCGGGGACAGUGUCUGGUGGGUAGUUUAACUGGGGCGGUUGCCUCCUAAAGAGUAACGGAGGCGCCCAAAGGUUCCCUCAGCCUGGUUGGCAAUCAGGUGUUGAGUGUAAGUGCACAAGGGAGCUUGACUGUGAGACUGACAGGUCGAGCAGGAGCGAAAGCUGGGACUAGUGAUCCGGCAUCGGCGUGUGGAAGCGGUGUCGCUCAACGGCUAAAAGGUACCCCGGGGAUAACAGGCUGAUCUUCCCCAAGAGUCCAUAUCGACGGGAUGGUUUGGCACCUCGAUGUCGGCUCGUCGCAUCCUGGGGCUGGAGUAGGUCCCAAGGGUUGGGCUGUUCGCCCAUUAAAGCGGUACGCGAGCUGGGUUUAGAACGUCGCGAGACAGUUCGGUCCCUAUCCGCUGCGCGCGCAGGAGACUUGAAGGGGGCUGUCCCUAGUACGAGAGGACCGGGACGGACGAACCUCUGGUGUGCCAGUUGUACCGCCAGGUGCACGGCUGGUUGGCUACGUUCGGAAGGGAUAACCGCUGAAAGCAUCUAAGCGGGAAGCUCGCCUUGAGAUGAGGUCUCCCACCACGAGAGUGGGUAAGGCUCCCGGUAGACACCGGGUUGAUAGGCCGGAGGUGGAAGCACGGUAACGUGUGGAGCUGACCGG
rnacentral:rRNA from 1 species